UGCCCCCGGAAGUGGCGGUAGGGAGGCGAGGGGGCGGGGAAGCGGCGGCACCGCCUCCUGAGGACAGCGCGGGGCCGCCGCGGGCAGGUUAAAACGUCAUACUGUCUCAGGGAAGCACCAGCAUAUUGUUUCUUGGAGCAGCAACUCUAAUCAUUAAUGAGCAGAUGAUAACCAGUUAAACAGUGCCUGGUAAACAACGCAAUCACAGUGGCAACACUGCUCAAGCAACAUCAAAGAGGAAGGGACUUUAGUGUUCCCGAGUCAGCGGGAAACAUGCCCAGAAUCUCAGCUGCAAGAGUGCCUGUAAUUUUUACAUAGAUUUCUGUAGGUCUUGUAACCAUGUCUGUUAAUGUGACAGAGAAUGAUCCUCCCAGAUUCUUUGUUGGUGGAGAAGAUGGAGAAGGAUUAUUGGAUUCAGCCAGAUCUACAGAUUAUGAACACUUCUAUGACCAUGGGGAAGAAGAGGAGGAAGAGUAUGACUCUCCACCAGAAAGACAAAUUGCAGUUGGGAUUUGUUCAAUGGCUAAGAAAUCAAAGUCCAAACCAAUGAAAGAAAUUCUUGAACGCCUCUCCAUGUUUAAGUAUAUAACUGUGGUGAUAUUUGAAGAGGAUGUUAUUUUGAAUGAGCCAGUAGAAAACUGGCCUUUAUGUGACUGUCUCAUUUCUUUUCACUCUAAAGGGUUUCCUCUGGACAAAGCAGUAGCCUAUGCAAAACUCAGGAAUCCAUUCGUAAUCAAUGACUUGAAUAUGCAGUACCACAUACAGGACAGAAGAGAAGUCUAUGGUAUUCUUAAAGCUGAAGGCAUUUUACUUCCUCGCUAUGCAGUUCUGAACCGUGAUCCAAACAAUCCCCAAGAAUGCAACUUGAUUGAAGGAGAAGAUCAUGUGGAAGUAAAUGGAGAAAUUUUCCAGAAGCCCUUUGUAGAAAAGCCAGUUAGUGCUGAGGACCACAAUGUUUAUAUUUAUUAUCCAACAUCUGCUGGGGGUGGAAGCCAGAGGCUCUUUCGAAAGAUUGGCAGCAGAAGCAGUGUUUAUUCUCCUGAAAGCAGUGUGAGAAAAACAGGCUCUUAUAUUUAUGAGGAAUUCAUGCCUACAGAUGGAACUGAUGUGAAGGUGUACACAGUAGGUCCAGACUAUGCUCAUGCUGAGGCCCGGAAGUCUCCAGCUCUGGAUGGCAAAGUAGAACGAGAUAGUGAAGGAAAAGAAGUGAGAUAUCCAGUCAUCCUGAAUGCAAGAGAGAAGUUAAUUGCUUGGAAAGUAUGCCUUGCCUUUAAGCAAACAGUUUGUGGCUUUGAUUUGCUACGUGCUAAUGGACAGUCCUAUGUCUGUGAUGUGAAUGGCUUCAGUUUCGUGAAAAACUCCAUGAAAUACUAUGAUGAUUGUGCUAAGAUACUGGGAAAUAUUAUAAUGAGAGAACUUGCUCCCCAAUUUCAAAUACCAUGGUCAAUUCCUUUAGAAGCUGAAGACAUUCCUAUUGUGCCAACCACUUCUGGAACAAUGAUGGAGCUUAGAUGUGUUAUAGCUGUAAUACGCCAUGGGGAUCGAACACCAAAGCAAAAAAUGAAAAUGGAAGUAAAACAUCAGAGAUUUUUUGAUCUCUUUGAAAAAUGUGAUGGAUAUAAAUCUGGAAAACUGAAACUGAAAAAACCGAAACAGCUUCAGGAAGUGCUUGAUAUAGCAAGGCAGCUCCUUGUAGAACUUGGGCAAAACAAUGAUUCUGAAAUUGAAGAAAGUAAAGCAAAACUUGAACAGCUAAAGACUGUGUUAGAAAUGUAUGGGCAUUUUUCAGGCAUAAAUCGCAAAGUUCAGUUAACAUAUCUUCCUCAUGGCUGCCCUAAGACUUCUAGCGAAGAGGAAGAUAAUAGAAGAAAUGAGCCAUCCCUGCUUCUGGUUCUAAAAUGGGGAGGAGAAUUGACCCCUGCAGGCAGGGUUCAAGCAGAGGAGCUUGGAAGAGCUUUCAGGUGUAUGUAUCCAGGCGGACAAGGAGAUUAUGCUGGAUUUCCUGGAUGUGGUUUACUUAGAUUACAUAGCACUUACCGACAUGAUCUCAAAAUCUACGCUUCUGAUGAGGGACGAGUUCAGAUGACUGCAGCAGCUUUUGCAAAGGGACUACUGGCCUUAGAGGGAGAGCUGACUCCUAUUCUUGUCCAGAUGGUAAAAAGUGCUAAUAUGAAUGGUCUGUUGGACAGUGACAGUGAUUCUUUAAGCAGCUGUCAACAUCGUGUUAAAGCAAGGCUCCAUGAAAUUCUCCAGAGAGACAGAGAAUUUACUGCUGAUGACUAUGAUAAGCUUACUCCAUCUGGAAGCAUCUCACUGAUAAAAUCAAUGCAGGUUAUUAAAAAUCCUGUAAAGACAUGUGACAAGGUCUAUUACUUGAUCCAGAGCUUGACUUCUCAGAUCAGGCAGAGAAUGGAAGACCCGAAGUCUGCAGAUAUUCAGCUCUAUCACAGUGAAACUCUAGAACUGAUGUUGCGCAGGUGGGCCAAGUUGGAAAAAGACUUCAAAACAAAAAAUGGAAGAUAUGAUAUUAGCAAGAUUCCUGAUAUUUAUGACUGUAUAAAAUAUGAUGUACAACACAAUGGAUCCUUAAAAUUAGAAAACACAAUGGAAUUAUAUAGGCUUUCAAAAGCUUUAGCUGACAUUGUGAUUCCUCAGGAAUACGGUAUUUCAAAAGCUGAGAAAUUGGAGAUUGCCAAAGGUUACUGCACUCCUCUGGUCAGAAAAAUUCGUUCUGACCUUCAGAGAACUCAAGAUGAUGACACUGUAAAUAAGCUUCACCCUCUCUACUCCAGGGGUGUUAUGUCCCCAGAACGCCAUGUUCGUACCCGGCUGUAUUUCACCAGUGAGAGUCAUGUCCACUCCCUGUUAUCCACCCUUCGCUAUGGUGCCUUAUGUGAUGAAUCAAAAGAUGAACAAUGGAAACGAGCUAUGGAUUACUUAAAUGUGGUCAAUGAACUCAAUUACAUGACACAGAUUGUUAUCAUGCUUUAUGAGGAUCCAAACAAGGAACUUUCUUCGGAAGAACGUUUUCAUGUAGAGCUGCACUUCAGUCCAGGAGCUAAAGGCUGUGAGGAAGAUAAAAAUUUACCAUCUGGAUAUGGAUACCGACCUGCCUCCAGAGAGAAUGAAGGCUCAAAGAAAACCUCUCAGAGAACUGAUAGUGAUGAGGAGGCACAUGCUCCUAAAAGAGAUGAAACGGAUCGAUCAAUAGUGAUGUUCAAGCCAAUGGUAUCAGACCCAAUUCACAUACACAGAAAGUCACCCCUUCCAAGAUCCAGGAAGAUUGGUUCUGUUGAAGAAGAGAGCCCCCUGAGUGUGUCUAGCCCAGAGUGUAUUGGUACCUGGCUGCAUUACACCAGUGGUGUGGGUACUGGGCGUCGAAGACGCAGAUCAGGGGAACAAAUCACUUCUUCCCCUGUCUCCCCUAAAUCACUGGCUUUCACAUCCAGUAUUUUUGGCUCAUGGCAACAGGUCCUAUCAGAAAGCAAUAGUAACUUACGAACACCAAGAACUAUUCUGGAACAAAAGCAGAGUGGUCUAGGGUCUCACUGUGCGGGCCUGUUUAGCACCUCAGUGCUCGGGGGUUCUUCAAGUGCACCUAACCUACAGGAUUAUGCUCGUACUCAUCGUAAAAAGCUGACUUCUUCUGGCUUCAUAGAUGACACCACACGCGGUUCUGCUGUUAAAAGGUUUUCUAUCUCAUUUGCUCGACACCCAACCAAUGAUGUGCAAAUUACUUAAAUAUUGCACUAAAAAUCACAGCAAGAGAGCUGUGACUUCUUGAGCAGCAUUGACCUCUUGAACUUCAAGAGUGAGAGUUAACUGUCUUCAGUUUGCAAAAAUUCUCGUUUAACACACGGGACAGAGACUACCCCCCCCAUCUUUAGUUCAAGGAACAUGGUGAAACAAGUAUCUUCUGAAAAUGCUAUACCUUAUUUUCUGGGCCUCUGCAGAACACCCACACCUCUUUAGGUGCUGGUCCAUUUCCUCUGUGGAAUUUCUAGGCUCCAGUGGUAUGUCUCUACAGCUUUUGAAUCUUAAGACAGCAGGGUGGCUUUUUGAGAUGCUGCGUUAACCCUUUCAUUGUCUUGCCUUUUGAUGCUUUAAGAACAAAUACAGCCAAAGAUCAAAGGCUGUUAGUGUACAGGAAAUUGCCUUCUUAAAGGGAUACUGUCGGGCUUCUUCAUCAUAAAAUUUCAAAUUUAUUUCUCAUAACAUCAUACAAUACUUAUAAGAAAAUGUUCAAAUAAAACCCUACAUGCAGAUUUCCAGAUUAUGGUUUAAGCCAUAUCCCUUAGACAUAAAGAUACUACAAUGACUUUAUGGGAUAUGAUUAGCGGACAGCAGAAUUGUCAAAAGUCAACAAAAAAUUUGGAGGGGAAAUUCCUAAACCAAUAAAAUUUUAUUUCUUCUCUUUUUUUUUUAAGGGGCAUGAGUGCAUUUUGGAAUUCCUUUCUGGUUCUCUAUAACAUGGACUAUAACAAUAAUAGUUACAAAAAAGUUAACCUGACAUUGUCCCACUUCAUUAAUUGCAAAAUCAGAAAAACAUUCUCAUUCAAGUGAUAGUUACUUUUCUGUCAGGGUAAAGAGAAAUCUUACGUUUUACUGUAAUGCAACGAAAGGGUUUGCGCUUUACAUGCAUGCAUAUAGUUAUUUAGGGUAUUAAUAUCUAUGCCAAGCAUCUUAGUGCUUACACUGAAAGUUAGCUACUGACCUUAUAGGGGAGUAGAAAUUAACAGUAUGGUGCUGUUUCUUUUGUAUACAAACCCCAAGUUUUCAUGAAAUGCCACAUUUUGUUUAUAAUCUAAGUGAAGCUGACAUAAGUACACUUCAGUUGGUUGAAUAUUUGUAGCAAUGGUCCCUGAAACUUGAGUAUGGCCAAGGUGGAUCUGAAUAUAAGUAUAGACAUUUAGGGGUUGAAAUCUUGUUGAAUUUCUUCCUUAUGCAAAGUACUAAUGGGGAGUGAAUGGGCAACAUUGGAUAUCACAGGAACAUUGUUGCUUAUUAUUUUAUGGAAAAGAACAGUUCACAGUCAUAAUGCUAUCUCGAAUGUACCUUGAACUGAAAUUCUAAACAUUAUCUCAUUCACUAUUGCUUCUUCAUGUAAUUGUCUUAGCAGAAAUUUACAGUAUUGAAUUGCAAAGUUUUAAUGUUACAGCUGUAUGUUGAAAACACUAAUGGACAUAUUUUCCUCUUCUGAAAUGCAAUUGGAUGAAAAGCUGUUUAUUGAGUUACCACACUUUAGAGGACUGAAAAUUAUUUUUUAGCCAAGAUGUUUAAAUGCUUUUUAGUCUGUUAGUAAUAUGAAUAAGCAUGGUUAGUGUAUGAUCAAUACUAACAUAGAAAAGCAUAGUCCAAAAAAUUCUUAGAUUUUUGGGUUGCUUUACUUACUUGUUCUAAUAUAUGAAAUUUCUAGUCUUUUAAUACUGUUUUUAAAUGCACAAAGGUAGGUGUAUAUCUGUCUCAGAAAGUAAAACCAUGUAGCCUCAAGGUAUAAAAAUGCUAACAGUGGUUUUCCUUUGAUAUUAAAGGCAACAGUUUGUUUUCACAGAAUACUGAAGAUGAUAGAACAUGAAUUCUGCAAAUUUAUUUCUUGGAAGAUACAGCAUUUUUAGCUCUUUUCUGCUAACAAAAUAGCUAUCCUACUUUCUUGCAUGAAUGAAUUAUCUAUCUAGUCUUGUGCCAGGUAUGAGAAUGAGUAGGAGAAAUUCUACCUUUUCCUGACUUUUUUUUUUUUUUUUUUAAAGUUAUCUGCUAAGUUUGUCCUAAAGGGAAAUUAUCUUUUCAUGAACUGAUUUGGGAGUAGAGCACAGUUCUAAUGUUUGAAUAAUUUAUGUGUACCCAUGUACUUCAUGUGUACACGGGAUUUGUAUCCCAUGGUAUGUUACACAGUAUCUUUAGCUUAGUA